UACGGGGGGGGCAAGCGUUGUUCGGAAUUACUGGGCGUAAAGGGCUCGUAGGCGGCCAACUAAGUCAGACGUGAAAUCCCUCGGCUCAACCGGGGAAUUGCGUCUGAUACUGGAUGGCUUGAGUUUGGGAGAGGGAUGCGGAAUUCCAGGUGUAGCGGUGAAAUGCGUAGAUAUCUGGAGGAACACCGGUGGCGAAGGCGGCGUCCUGGACCAACACUGACACUGAUGAGCGAAAGCCAGGGGAGCAAACGGG
rnacentral:rRNA from 1 species